rnacentral:rRNA from 1 species
GAUGAACGCUGGCGGCGCGCCUAACACAUGCAAGUCGAACGAUUAAAGCACCUUCGGGUGUGUAUAAAGUGGCGAACGGCUGAGUAACACGUGGGCAACCUGCCCCUUUCAUUGGGAUAGCCACGGGAAACCGUGGAUAAUACCGAAUACUUCGAGACUUCCGCAUGGAAGACUCGAGAAAGCUCCGGCGGAGAGGGAUGGGCCCGCGGCCUGUUAGCUUGUUGGUGGGGUAACGGCCUACCAAGGCAAUGAUGGGUAGCUGGGUUGAGAGACCGACCAGCCAGAUUGGGACUGAGACACGGCCCAGACUCCUACGGGAGGCAGCAGUGGGGAAUCUUGCGCAAUGGGCGAAAGCCUGAUGCAGCGACGCCGCGUGCGGGAUGAAGGCCUUCGGGUUGUAAACCGCUUUCAGCAGGGACGAGGCGAAAGUGACGGUACCUGCAGAAGAAGCCCCGGCUAACUACGUG